UCCAUGGGUGGCGAGUGGCGGACGGGUGAGGAAUACAUCGGAAUCUGCCCAGUCGUGGGGGAUAACAUAGGGAAACUUAUGCUAAUACCGCAUACGACCUACGGGUGAAAGCGGGGGAUCGCAAGACCUCGCGCGAUUGGAUGAGCCGAUGUCCGAUUAGCUAGUUGGCGGGGUAAUGGCCCACCAAGGCGACGAUCGGUAGCUGGUCUGAGAGGAUGAUCAGCCACACUGGAACUGAGACACGGUCCAGACUCCUACGGGAGGCAGCAGUGGGGAAUAUUGGACAAUGGGCGCAAGCCUGAUCCAGCCAUGCCGCGUGGGUGAAGAAGGCCUUCGGGUUGUAAAGCCCUUUUGUCCGGAAAGAAAAGUCCCGGGUUAAUACCCUGGGGUGAUGACGGUACCGGAAGAAUAAGCACCGGCUAACUUCGUGCCAGCAGCCGCGGUAAUACGAAGGGUGCAAGCGUUACUCGGAAUUACUGGGCGUAAAGCGUGCGUAGGUGGUUUGUUAAGUCUGAUGUGAAAGCCCUGGGCUCAACCUGGGAAUGGCAUUGGAAACUGGCAGGCUAGAGUGCGGUAGAGGAU
rnacentral:rRNA from 1 species